CGCGUAGGCGGGAUGGCAAGUCGGUCGUGAAAUCCUUCGGCUCAACCGAAGAACGUCGAUCGAUACUGCUGUUCUUGAGGGUUGCAGAGGAGACUGGAAUUCCCGGUGUAGCGGUGAAAUGUGUAGAGAUCGGGAGGAACACCGGUGGCGAAGGCGGGUCUCUGGGCAAUUCCUGACGCUGGAGGCGCGAAAGCGGUGGGGAGCGAAACGGGAUUAGAUACCCCGGUAGUCCACGCUGUAAACGAUGACGACUAGGUGGUGGGGGGGUUCAGUCCCUUCCGUGCCGCAGCUAACGCAUUAAGUCGUCCGCCUGGGGAGUACGGCCGCAAGGUUGA
rnacentral:rRNA from 1 species